rnacentral:rRNA from 1 species
UACGUAGGGUGCAAGCGUUAAUCGGAAUUACUGGGCGUAAAGCGUGCGCAGGCGGUUUUGUAAGUCUGUCGUGAAAUCCCCGGGCUCAACCUGGGAAUUGCGAUGGAGACUGCAAGGCUAGAAUCUGGCAGAGGGGGGUAGAAUUCCACGUGUAGCAGUGAAAUGCGUAGAGAUGUGGAGGAACACCGAUGGCGAAGGCAGCCCCCUGGGUCAAGGAUUGACGCUCAUGCACGAAAGGCGUGGGGAGCAAACGAG